CCUACGGGAGGCAGCAGUGGGGAAUAUUGCACAAUGGGGGAAACCCUGAUGCAGCGACGCCGCGUGAGUGAAGAAGUAUUUCGGUAUGUAAAGCUCUAUCAGCAGGGAAGAAAAAAGACGGUACCUGACUAAGAAGCCCCGGCUAACUACGUGCCAGCAGCCGCGGUAAUACAUAGGGGGCAAGCGUUAUCCGGAUUUACUGGGUGUAAAGGGGGCGCAGACGGCGAUGCAAGCCAGGAGUGAAAGCGCGGGGCCCAACCCCGGGACUGCUCUUGGAACUGCGUGGCUAGAGUGCAGGAGGGGCAGGCGGAAUUCCUGGUGUAGCGGUGAAAUGCGUAGAUAUCAGGAGGAACACCGGUGGCGAAGGCGGCCUGCUGGACUGCAACUGACGUUGAGGCCCGAAAGCGUGGGGAGCAAACAGGAUUAGAUACCCGAGUAGUC
rnacentral:rRNA from 1 species